ensembl:lncRNA
GAUUUUUAAAUACAAAUAACUGUAGACCAUGCGUUUCUCAUAACCAAAAUUAAUUUUCAAUCCUACACUGUUUGAAGAAAUGGAGUCAUACUGCACACGAGCUAUGGAUGGAAAAGAAUUGUGUUGAAACACAGGAACACGCGCUGUGGGUGUCUGAUUGGAAUCUGUCCGCAUUUACUCAGACGUCUGCCCAUGAGGCCUUUCUGAAGUCUCCUCCGCUCCCCGGCUGAAAGGAACGGAUGGUCGUUCUCAAUCUUGGUUUUGCACUGUUAUCACCUGAGGAGCUUUUAAAAAGUCCUGCUGCCCAUGCCACACCCAAGACCAGUUAAGGCAGAAUCUCUGGGGCUGGUGCCCAGCCUUUUUGCAGAGACUGAAACCCUUGCCAGGUGGACGCAGGUAUGCUGCCCACAAGCACACAGACCCUAGACAGGUUGGAACCAGGUUGAUGGUGUUGA